GCCUUGGGUGUUUACGCGUUUGCGAUGGCGCCUUUUUUUUUCAUCGAUUGAAAUUAAGAAAAUUAUACAGCUACAUACUUAAAUAUCGUGUAAGACCUUUUCUCGAAGAAGUUGUAGGAGCUAGUUGUUCUUUUAGUACUUUCGCGCAUCGAUCAACUUAUUUACACCUUUCAGAUUAAUAUCUACUUCGACGAUGUGGUCGUUUUAAAUAACGGUCUAGAGUUUCUGAAAAUACUCUUAAAAGGUGGGACCAAUAUUUCAUGAAAAAAACGCUAUCAGCCCCUUUCAGUCAACAGCUUACUGUGAGAACAAAGAUCUCAAAGUGGUUGUCCACGUUUACAGGGUUGAAAUGAAUGGAUUCUAUAGAACACCAGACAUUUGAAGAGGAAACCACACGUUUGCAACAAACGCAGCGAAAUAUCACCAAUCAAACGUGCUAACCUUUUAACCAUAACGACUACCCCGAAGAAUUGAAACAAUCGCAAGGAACUCACGCCCACCUCUAGAUCAUUUUACACGAGAAAAGGGUCGUGGGUGGAUAACUCUAACGACCAACGUGAUUUGUUUUUUAUUGAAAACGAAAGAACUUUUCACCCUCUAUUGUUGCGUGACGGACACACAAAUAUUACCAAGCAGAGGAAAACAGCUUAUAUUGUUCACUAAAGAAAAGGAAUAUUCAUCUAUGAGUCCAUAUUGCCAGAUUAAUAUGCAGCACACGAUUGACAAACAAAUCAAAAGAAAAGAGGGUGGAUUUCGAAACAGCAUCGGUAACAAUAUAAUUUUUUUUUCUUAUGUGUAACAACAGUGUGGACGUGCUCGAUCAAAAAAAACUAGAGUUUAGUUGACGAGUGUUUUCGUUGACCGCGGAAACUUGAAACAGUUAUUGAUAAACAUCGACAAUGCCACUUGAGUAAUAGAAUCGAAGUAAAAGUUUCAUUUAUCCUAAUUUCUUAUCACUGACCAGACUUUUUUCCACAAUUAAAUUCAACUACAAGAUUAUCUUUCCAAUCAAGGAAAGUGUGUCCAUUUCUAAGUGUCUAAUUUCCUGUGUUUUUCUCGUUUAGUUUCAAACUAGCGGAACUCGACGAAUUUUUUUUAACUGUUCUCCUUCUUUCAUGCGAAAAUUUCUUCAAAUAAUAAAAAUCCCACCCUUGAAGAGACGUGAGGUCUGUCUAACCGCAGGAAAUUCUAGGUUGUUUCAAAGUUAGCGUGAUUCCCUCAAGAAUUGAGCAAGAGAAAACCAGAUUAAGUAUGACGCAAUUUGACAACCACGUGAAAUUAUAAUCUCCCAGGUCGACUCCAAAAUUGAACCUGUUUUGUCUGUUUAUUGAAAAAAUGCACUGUAAUUCCUAGACGUGCAUCUUCUGACACAAGGUUAUUUCAAAAGGGGCUUCGCGACUUAGUAAAAGGUGUAAUAAAAUCCAAUUUAAAUAAAUGUUUUUGUUCUUGACAACAAAUUCGUAGCGAUAGUUCUUUAACUUGACCUUGUUGAUUACGUAAAUCUUCUUGGCACAAGACAAGCUCAGUACACAAAAAAAUUGAAUGUUUCGUGACUUUUGCGCAAUGAGGAAAAAGCAGACGAAUGCAAGAUUUUAACCAACAACUUCUAGCAUUCGAAAGGUCGGAAAUGAAGUAAAUCUUUUGCGCAGAGGGCGUUAAAAAUGCUGACACAACACGCAAGAAAUAAUCCUUUCCGUCGUCAAGCAACAACCAAGCAAAACAAACAAGCUCCAGGGAGAAAAUACAUUUUUCCUGUCAAUGGAGCUGAGGAAAUGAUUCAGCAACAACGAGAAUCCGUUUACAACAACCUAGGAUGCUACUUUGGAGGCGAGUCCGGAAUCCCGGUUCCUGGAAAACUGUUCCCAAACAGAGGCGAAGUGGGAGGUAGGAC